UACGUAGGGUGCGAGCGUUGUCCGGAAUUAUUGGGCAUAAAGAGCUUGUAGGCGGUCUGUCGCGUCUGCUGUGAAAAUCCGGGGCUCAACCCCGGACUUGCAGUGGGUACGGGCAGACUAGAGUGUGGUAGGGGAGACUGGAAUUCCUGGUGUAGCGGUGAAAUGCGCAGAUAUCAGGAGGAACACCGAGUGGCGAAGGCAGGUCUCCUGGGCC
rnacentral:rRNA from 1 species